rnacentral:rRNA from 1 species
AGUGAACGCUGGCGGCAGGCCUAACACAUGCAAGUCGAACGGCAGCACAAGAGAGCUUGCUCUCUGGGUGGCGAGUGGCGGACGGGUGAGGAAUGCAUCGGAAUCUGCCCAUUUGUGGGGGAUAACCUCGGGAAACCGGGACUAAUACCGCAUACGACCUACGGGUGAAAGCAGGGGAUCUUCGGACCUUGCGCAGAUGGAUGAGCCGAUGCGGGAUUAGCUAGUUGGAGGGGUAAAGGCCCACCAAGGCGACGAUCCGUAGCUGGUCUGAGAGGAUGAUCGCGCGCCCGAGGGAGUGGGACACGGCCCACCUCCGUAGGGGAGGCAGGAGGGGGAAAAUUUGGGAAGGGGGCGAAAGCCUGAUCCAGCAAUGCGGGGGAGGUGAAGAAAGCCUGGGGGUGUUAAAGACCUUUUUUUGGGAAAAAAAACCAUCCGUUUAAAACCCGGUUGUAUGACGGGAACCAAAAAAAAAGCCCCGGCUAAAUUCGUG